UGUUAAAAAUUUCAUCAUUUAUACGGUUAAAAAUCAGUGUAGUUGACAAAAUAAUAAAAAAGUGACACGUGGUAUGCCACGUGUACCUAAUUUUGAUGUAUGAUGACCUUUUUUAACUGUAAAACUGAAUGGAAUUUUUAACU
rnacentral:pre_miRNA from 1 species